rnacentral:rRNA from 1 species
CCUACGGGUGGCAGCAGUCGAGAAUCAUUCACAAUGGGGGAAACCCUGAUGGUGCGACGCCGCGUGGGGGAAUGAAGGUCUUCGGAUUGUAAACCCCUGUCAUGUGGGAGCAAAUUAAAAAGAUAGUACCACAAGAGGAAGAGACGGCUAACUCUGUGCCAGCAGCAGCGGUAAUACAGAGGUCUCAAGCGUUGUUCGGAAUCACUGGGCGUAAAGCGUGCGUAGGCUGUUUCGUAAGUCGUGUGUGAAAGGUGCGGGCUCAACCCGCGGACGGCACAUGAUACUGCGAGACUAGAGUAAUGGAUGGGGAACCGGAAUUCUCGGUGUAGCAGUGAAAUGCGUAGAUAUCGAGAGGAACACUCGUGGCGAAGGCGGGUUCCUGGACAUUAACUGACGCUGAGGCACGAAGGCCAGGGGAGCGAAAGGGAUUAGAUACCCGAGUAGUC